rnacentral:rRNA from 1 species
UACGUAGGGUGCAGGCGUUAAUCGGAAUUACUGGGCGUAAAGCGUGCGCAGGCGGUCUCUUAAGACAGGUGUGAAAUCCCCGGGCUUAACCUGGGAACUGCAUUGGUGACUGCAAGGCUUGAGUGUGUCAGAGGGAGGUGGAAUUCCGCGUGUAGCAGUGAAAUGCGUAGAUAUGCGGAGGAACACCGAUGGCGAAGGCAGCCUCCUGGGAUAACACUGACGCUCAUGCACGAAAGCGUGGGGAGCAAACAGG